UCCAAAGUAAAUGAAGCAGUGGGACAAGUUUUUCCAUGAGGGAGCGGCCAUAAUUCUUUUCUUAUCUUUAAUUCUCUCAAGUCUUCCCUUGCCGCCAAGUGGUCGUUUCUUUUGUUUUCGUCAUUCAGUAAGGUGAACAAAAUAUUAUCACACGCAUUUUUCUCAAUGUGCAUCACAUCCAAAUUAUGUCGCGAUAAAUUGAACUCCUAGUAUGGAGGCUUAAAGAAAAUACUCUUCUUCUUCCAUAGUGACGCUGGUCCCUAUGGUUUCCCUUGCAUUUUACCAAAUAUAAUUUCCAAAUUUGCCACUUGCUCCAAAAUAACUGUACCCGACAGCAGCCUUGGUGGAUCCCGCUUCUCUACCUUACCAUUAAAUUUGCUCUGUUGCAACCGAAACGUAUGACCUUUAGCUAGAAAUCUUCGACUACCAUGACAAAUGUUUUGCUCGAAGAUGUCAAUUUGACAUUGUCGGCAUCAUAAUUAAUUAUUGGACUGAAUAAUGUAGUAUAGGUGUUCCAGCCUGACAAGUUGCACAAACCAGGAUAGUCAAUUAUUGUCCACAUGAGCGCCACUCUGAAUGUGAGUUCUUUGCAGCAUCAAACGCCUCCACGCCAAUCCAUAAAGCAUUCAAUUCCUCAAUCAACGGCUGAAGAAAUACAUCCAAGUCAUUGCCAAGCAUUUUGGGUUCUAGAACGAUACCAUAAAGGAUCAACCAUGUUUGCUUCAUACACAACCAAGGUGGAGUGUUAUACGAAAUCAACACAAACAGCAAAGUAUUAUGAACUCAUCUGUUGCGAACCCAAGUUGCACAUUCCGCGGUUCAUUAGCAAAGUCGUACUUGUUGUCAACGUUUUUUCACGCUUCUGCCGCCCGAGAAUGUCUACC
rnacentral:lncRNA from 1 species